rnacentral:rRNA from 1 species
AUUGAACGCUGGCGGCAUGCCUUACACAUGCAAGUCGAACGGCAGCGGACCUUCGGGUGCCGGCGAGUGGCGAACGGGUGAGUAGUAUAUCGGAACGUACCUUUCAGUGGGGGAUAACGUAGCGAAAGUUACGCUAAUACCGCAUAUUCUGUGAGCAGGAAAGCAGGGGAUCGCAAGACCUUGCGCUGAUUGAGCGGCCGAUAUCAGAUUAGCUAGUUGGUGAGGUAAAGGCUCACCAAGGCGACGAUGUCUAGCUGGUCUGAGAGGAUGAUCAGCCACACUGGGACUGAGACACGGCCCAGACUCCUACGGGAGGCAGCAGUAGGGAAUAUUGGACAAUGGGGGGAACCCUGAUCCAGCCAUGCCGCGUGAGGGAAGAAGGUCCUCUGGAUUGUAAACCUCUUUUGGCAGGAACAACCUGCGCUAUACGCGCAGCUGAGGGUACCUGCAGAUAAGCACCGGCUAACUCCGUG